CCAACAUGCUGUUAAAAUCUCUUUGCAAAGAAUAUUGGUUGGGAGUGGUUCUGGUGGAAUCAGAUCCUAAGACAAAGUGAACUUUUUCUGAUUUGCAAUGAGUCUCACUUUGGAAAAGCUCCCUUGAUUCAGAAAGCUCCUGGCAUCUGGCUCUUCCCAUCAGACAUAAGAACAAGUCAGAUCAGCACCUUUUAAUGUCAAGAUUUCACAAAAAUAAAGAGGAGAGAGAAUCUACUAAAAAAGACAAGAACAGUAGGAAUAAAUGAAAGCAUUCCUUUAAUUGAACGCAAGAACAACCCCUGAAAGAGGAAAGUCAUCAAAGGAAACAUGUUAAAGGUUCUCUGAACGCUUCUUUGGGAAGAACUCUAGUAACAUAUAGGACACCAGUGAUGACAUAUGAUCCGGUUUCUACAUACAUGACUUUAAUCUUGUCCUGUAGGUCUCCAUAGUUUGAGAGCUUUUCCUUCCAUGCUGUUUGGAGAUUAUAUGUAUUCAGCAUGAUGAUAUCUAUUAAAAAUGUUUUUAAAAUUU